ACCACGGUUACCGUGAUGAGCAAAUCCAUUCGCUUUGGAAUCUUUGAGUCUGCGUGGUCCUCGCGCUCCAACCAGCGGUGUAGUUUUUCUUCCCAGACGAAGGGGCGGAAACGCUACACGACGGUAGUCGAGCUAUCGGCUCGGUAUUUCAACAACAAGUCAAGACAAACAGCGACGUUAGCUCACAAUACUUAGGAGACAAAGACUGUCGGUUUGUUUUAGCGUCGGUUCAGGUGGAAGUUUACGUGUUUUCUUUAAUUGUAGCGUUAAGUCAUCGUAACCUGCUGUUCCCCAGGUCUACCUGAUGAGUAUGAGCCUGACCACAGAACCCCCUAGCGAUGUUCCUGCUGUUACAGAAGAGAGCAAAAUGACUGCAGUCGAGAAGCAGGACAAGAAGCCAGAUGAUGUGGAAGAGGAAGAGGAGGAAGAGGAAGAAUACGUGGUGGAAAAGGUCCUGAAUCGGCGGGUGGUGAAAGGGAGAGUAGAUUAUCUUCUCAAGUGGAAAGGCUUCUCUGAGGAGGACAACACGUGGGAGCCAGAAGACAACCUGGACUGUCCAGAUUUGAUCGCAGAGUUCCUGCAGUCCCAGAAAUCAGCACACGAGGGUAAGAGGAAGGCGGCCGGAGACGCAGAAGGAGACGAGAGUAAAACAAAGAAGAAAAAAGACGAUACAGAGAAGCUAAGGGGCUUUGCUCGAGGGCUGGAUCCAGAAAGGAUUAUUGGGGCCACAGACUCCACAGGCGAGCUCAUGUUCCUCAUGAAAUGGAAAAACUCUGAUGAAGCCGACCUGGUGCCGGCGAAGGAGGCCAACGUGAAGUGUCCGCAGGUGGUCAUCUCUUUCUAUGAGGAGAGACUUACUUGGCACUCGUAUCCCACUGAAGACGAGAAAAAAGAUGAGAAAAACUAACACAGGGCGAAGGGGUAGGGGGAAAGAAAGAAAGAAACUGUAGUUUUCAACUUCAUUGUACAUGUACAGUACUUUCCAGAGGUAUUUUGGGGCAAUCGGGGGGGGGGCAGAGACCACCAUUGGACUCAUUCGUCUUAUGGUACAGUAUCACUCAUUUGAUUCUUUUAUCUGGAUAGUCAAACUGUAAAUAUGCUUCAGGUUUGCUUGACAAAACCCAACUGAAAUUUAAAAAAAAAGCAGUGUUAAUUUUCAGUGUCGACUCGGCCGCUUCAGGAUCAUUUCACACAUCUGGUCCAGUGCUCGGUCGUCUUGCUAUGAGAUUGUAUCAGUCAGGUGGGUUUAUUUCAUUCAUGCCUUU